AGAGUUUGAUCCUGGCUCAGGAUGAACGCUAGCGACAGGCUUAACACAUGCAAGUCGAGGGGCAGCACGGUGUAGCAAUACACUGGUGGCGACCGGCGCACGGGUGAGUAACACGUGUGCAACCAACCCCGUACCGGGAGAUAACCCGCGGAAACGUGGACUAACAUCCCAUAACACUGUAUCAUCGCAUGGUGAUGCAUUUAAAAUUCCGGUGGUACGGGACGGGCACGCGCGACAUUAGGUAGUUGGCGGGGUAACGGCCCACCAAGCCGACGAUGUCUAGGGGUUCUGAGAGGAAGGUCCCCCACACUGGAACUGAGACACGGUCCAGACUCCUACGGGAGGCAGCAGUGAGGAAUAUUGGUCAAUGGGCGAGAGCCUGAACCAGCCAAGUCGCGUGAGGGAAGAAUGGUCUAUGGCCUGUAAACCUCUUUUGCCAGGGAAGAAUAAAUUGCACGCGUGCGAUCUUGCCAGUACCUGACGAAUAAGCAUCGGCUAACUCCGUGCCAGCAGCCGCGGUAAUACGGGGGAUGCGAGCGUUAUCCGGAUUUAUUGGGUUUAAAGGGCGCGUAGGCGGGACGCCAAGUCAGCGGUAAAAGACUGCAGCUAAACUGUAGCACGCCGUUGAAACUGGCGACCUGGAGACGAGACGAGGGAGGCGGAACAAGUGAAGUAGCGGUGAAAUGCUUAGAUAUCACUUGGAACCCCGAUAGCGAAGGCAGCUUCCCAGGCUCGAUCUGACGCUGAUGCGCGAGAGCGUGGGUAGCGAACAGGAUUAGAUACCCUGGUAGUCCACGCCGUAAACGAUGCUCACUGGAUCUUGGCGAUACACUGCCAGGGUUCAAGCGAAAGUAUUAAGUGAGCCACCUGGGGAGUACGUCGGCAACGAUGAAACUCAAAGGAAUUGACGGGGGCCCGCACAAGCGGAGGAACAUGUGGUUUAAUUCGAUGAUACGCGAGGAACC
rnacentral:rRNA from 1 species